UACGGAGGAUGCGAGCGUUAUCCGGAUUUAUUGGGUUUAAAGGGUGCGUAGGCGACCUUAUAAGUCAGCGGUGAAAUUUUGCAGCUUAACUGUAACAGUGCCGUUGAUACUGUAGGGCUAGGAUUUGGUUGCUGUGGGUGGAAUGUGUGGUGUAGCGGUGAAAUGCUUAGAUAUCACACAGAAUAUCGAUUGCGAAGGCAGCUCACAAAGCCAAGAUUGACGCUGAGGCACGAAAGUGUGGGGAUCAAACAGG
rnacentral:misc_RNA from 1 species